CAAUGAAAGUAUCAACGUGUAUUUCCUAGACCGAGAGGUCCGGGUAAACCGCUGAACCACUUUCAUGCUUGGGAUUGUGAACUGAAACUGUUCACAUGAACUUGGAUUCCCAGUAAGUGUGAGUCAUUAACUCGCAUUGAUUACGUCCUGCCCUUUGUACACACCGCCCGUCGCUACUACCGAUUGAAUUAUUUAGUGAGGUCUCCGGACGUGAUCACUGUGACGCCUUGCGUGUUACGGUUGUUUCGCAAAAGUUGACCGAACUUGAUUAUUUAGAGGAAGUAAAAGUCGUAACAAGGUUUCCGUAGGUGAACCUGCGGAAGGAUCAUUA
rnacentral:ncRNA from 1 species